rnacentral:rRNA from 1 species
CCUACGGGUGGCAGCAGUGGGGGAUAUUGCACAAUGGGGGAAACCCUGAUGCAGCGACGCCGCGUGUGGGAAGACGGUCCUCUGGAUUGUAAACCACUGUCCCCAGGGACGAAGAUGACGGUACCUGGGGAGGAAGCUCCGGCUAACUACGUGCCAGCAGCCGCGGUAAUACGUAGGGAGCGAGCGUUGUCCGGAAUUACUGGGUGUAAGGGGAGCGUAGGCGGGACUGCAAGUUGGGUGUCAAAUCUACCGGCUCAACCGGUAGCCGCACUCAAAACUGCAGUUCUUGAGUGAAGUAGAGGCAGGCGGAAUUCCUGGUGUAGCGGUGAAAUGCGUAGAUAUUAGGAGGAACACCAGUGGCGAAGGCGGCCUGCUGGGCUUUUACUGACGCUGAGGCUCGAAAGUGUGGGGAGCAAACAGGAUUAGAUACCCUUGUAGUC